UUGUGCGACCUUCCCUCCAUUUCGCCCCAAUCAAACUUCUGAGACUUGAGGGCUCCUAGGUCUAGGGUUAACGAUGACGAUCGAGCUCAUGGAGAAAUAGCUGGAUACGAUGCCUUAAUUUUUUUUAAUCAAACCAAUCCGCAGUUCGCCUUCCAUCUGCUAAUCGGUUUUCGAUAUCCAUCCAUUUGUUUGACGGGCAUUUGGCUUUCAUCAACGAAGAUACUCAUAGUCGGACGGCUCAGGAAUCCCGAAAGCAAAUCCUAGCCUGCCAUCUUUACUCCUCCAAGAAACUUGGCCAUCACGAAGCAUUAGUGGAUCAUACCCUACUUUAUGGUGGCUCAUUAUUUUACCAAGCAAGCUGCCGGUUAUGGGGCCCAUUAGGGUUGCUUAUUGGUGCAGUUACGUUUUUUAAAAUGUGGUCGAGGUGUUUGUUUCAUGCGUUUUGACGUUUUUUCACAGCAUUUUAUUAUAUUACACAACCGCGAGCUUGACCCUGCGACCUGCAUUCUUACCUGGAAAGGUUACGUGCUCAACCCUUCUCCUCCCUCGCUCGACCCCGUUCUGCCCUAGUCCCUCCUCGAUCACCUCUGUCCUUCGCCUUCGCAAACUUCACUUCUUUGCGUCCCGUGUUCUGCUGCAAGCAUUGAAUGGCCCACAUUUGUCAUUGAGGAUGGAAAGUCAUACUGCAAACCUAUCCACUCUUUUGAUUUAGAAGAAAAAUGAAUAGGAAGAUUGGGGGCACUUUUCGUACUUUUCGAACUUUGCCUGGUCAAUUUCUUAGAAAUGUUUUUUGACAGUAAAGCUGAACUCAUAUUGUUGGGAUAAGGCUAAUGAAGAAGAAGAAGGUGGGAUACUAAUGAUGAUGUCUCCUUUGGAAUAUUUCUGUUAUAAACAAAUAUUAAUUGUUGAUGAUGUCACCAAACGGGCCCUUAGCUUUUGGUAGAUGAUUUUUUUUUUUUUAAAGUUUUGUGAGGAUUGUUGAAUUAAUAUGCAAAACAUAUCCCUUGGGCAUUUUAUUGUUGAUUUCACCUAA